GAGACUUUAGUUUAAUGGUAAAACAUAUGACUUUUAAUCAUUCUAC
rnacentral:tRNA from 1 species